CGGUGAUAACAGAUGAUGCUGAUCAAUAUCUGCAAACAAUUCUAGCCAAAUAUUUGGAAGGCUGGACUCUACAACCUAUACUCUACAACAAAUACCCGGGUAUUCUACAAACACAACCUCCAGCAAUGUAUCUAAGGAAUGUAAACUUCUACAGGCAUUUAAAGACUUUGGAUUACAAAUACAAUUACUAUUUUUAAUUUUGGAUUACAAUUCGUAUCCGGAUCCAUCCAAG